rnacentral:rRNA from 1 species
GGGGGGGUAGGAGUGCUUGCCUUUGCUGACGAGCGGCGGACGGGUGCGUAACACGUAGGAAUCUGCCUGGUAGUGGGGGAUAGCCCGGAGAAAUCCGGAUUAAUACCGCAUACGCCCUAAGGGGGAAAGGAGGGGACUCUUCGGAGCCUUUCGCUAUCAGAUGAGCCUGCGUCGGAUUAGCUGGUUGGUGGGGUAAAGGCCUACCAAGGCGACGAUCCGUAGCUGGUCUGAGAGGAUGAUCAGCCACACUGGGACUGAGACACGGCCCAGACUCCUACGGGAGGCAGCAGUGGGGAAUAUUGCACAAUGGGCGAAAGCCUGAUGCAGCCAUGCCGCGUGUGUGAAGAAGGCCCUAGGGUUGUAAAGCACUCUCAGCGAGGAGGAAAGGUUAAAGGUUAAUACCCUUUAGCUGUGACGUUACUCGCAGAAGAAGCACCGGCUAACUCCGUGCCAGCAGCCGCGGUAAUACGGAGGGUGCGAGCGUUAAUCGGAAUUACUGGGCGUAAAGCGUGCGUAGGCGGCCUUUUAAGUUGGAUGUGAAAGCCCCGGGCUCAACCCGGGAACUGCAUCCAAAACUGGAAGGCUCGAGUGCGGGAGAGGAGUGUGGAAUUUCCUGUGUAGCGGUGAAAUGCGUAGAUAUAGGAAGGAAC